rnacentral:lncRNA from 1 species
CUGCAGCCCCGGCCCUGAGCCCCCGCCGCGGACCCAGGCAUUGACUGACAGAUGUUCCUGGUUUGAAAAGGAAGACUUAAAUGAGUGUGAAAAAACAUGGCUUUUGCUACUGAAACACAUCAAUCAAGAUUCGCACUGCACAAACUGGGACACAAUGCCCAACUUUCCAGAGUUCUUGGAAAAGGAACAACAGGAAAGGAGUCCAGAACACCACGAAGUCUUUACAUUCAGAAUAAAAGACAUUCAGUGGGUAUCAUUCCCAUCUUUUCACAAAGAAAAAUGUCUGAACCCCAAGGAUCUGAGCUCUCAGCAGCCAACACAGAGUCAGAGCAAUGAACAUAAAGGACAGGGCCAAUCAUCCACAGCUGGGAAAACCUGCAAGGGAACCAGUACAGAUCAAGCCAAAACUGUGUCUGGGGCAGACACAAAAGGCGUUUCAGAGCUGGAUGUGAGUCCUAAGUCAUGUAAAUUCCCUGGGCACAGCAGCUCAGCACAGCCCUUGGCCUUGGUACAAAGCCCUGCAGAAGCUCUGAGCCCUCAGCAGCACCACACAGGGACUGUACAGAACAGUAGGGCAGACAGGGAAGAAAAGGGUGAGGAAAAGACUCAAAUCCAAACACAUCAGGGGGAUCUUCCAGUGGGGGAGGCCACAGAGGUCCCUGCUGAGAAGCCUCGGCUAAGGAGCACUCUGGGGGCUGAGAGCCGUGAGGAGAAGAUGGAAAACCAGAGUGAAGCAUCUUCAGCUCUUGACAGUUGUCCAAUGUGUCUGAUGCAGUUUAGUGGAAGACUCUCUCAGCUGGACAUUGAUGGCCACCUUGCCAGGUGCUUGUCUGAAAGUGCAGAUGAUGUCACAUGGUAA